CGAGUUUUGCCUCUCUCACUGGCAGCAACCCAGCGCUUCCAUUGCUGACCUCUACCGACCUCUACCUGUGGUCCUUCCUCUACUGCAGCAGAGACACUGUUUUCUUCCUUUGUUCUUCCAACCCCAUGGGGUUCUGGCCGCUGGUGUUGUCUAAGAGCUUUGUGCUGCCCUUCCUCUUCCCCAGGGCACAGAAACACUCUCCACUGCGGCCAAGGAUUGCAGGAGAGGUGGCAUCAGUGAUUCAAGACUUCUUUUCCUACCUCUUCAGUGUUUCUUUCAGUGAUCUGAAGUUAAAGCCAGGGGGAAUAUCACAGAAGUGAAGUGCAAUUCUCAUCAUGUCAUAUCAAGAGCACACACUAACAAACAACAUGACUUAUUGCUGAAUAUUGAACUUGAUCACCUGGCUGAGGUAGUGUUUGCCAGAUUUCUCUGUAAAGGUGAAUAAACUGACACUGGAACAUUCAGGAACUUCUUCAUGGUCAUGGUCACCCAGCUAGAGUGUGGAAGCCAGGCUGUCUGAUUCCAGGAUCUGUGUUCUUAAUCCUAUACAUAAGGAAGCCAUAAUGAGUCAACCACUAUUUUUAAGAUUCACAGAUGUUCGGGUCCAAUUCACCAGAAUGCCAAGUUAUACAGGGUUGUGGAAUCAAAAACUGCAAUUAGUAAUAAAAUGUGAUGCUAUCUAGAAUGUUUUUCAUACAUAUAUAUGCUUCUUGGGACUCUCCCUGCAGGUUAAGAGAAAUUGAGAAACGAUGGAGAAUUUAAGUGUUUUAGAUCCUACAUACAUUAGACUUAAAAAUAGUAACUAUGUACAUGAGUAUUUGUAAACUUAAGAAUGAACAUAACAUGAACCAUGUGGCACCUAUAAAAUGAAAAUAAAAUACCUACAAACCAAAUGAGAGCAAUAAAAGAAGCUUUAAGGACUUUCAC
rnacentral:lncRNA from 1 species